rnacentral:lncRNA from 1 species
GUCAUCGCACCCCCUAAAGUCGUGAUUAGACCUAGCUCUUGCCCUAAACCCAGCACACAGGUCUCUAACAUCUCUAGGCAUAAUAUCAAACACCCUGAUACGAGAUCCCAAAAUUUGUCUCUUGGCCAAUAUUCGAGAGUCUUCAGAAAUCCCGCAAGUUUACACACUGCGGAAAACUCUCGAAACAGAUCACAAAUAUAGCAGUUCACACAGAGUUAGAU